AGAGUUUGAUCCUGGCUUAGGAUAAACGUUGGCGGUGUGCUUUAUGCAUGCAAGUCGUACGGGGUUAUAGUUUUCGAAUUAUAAUCUAGUGGCGAAUGGCUGAGUAAUACAUAGGUAACCUGCCUGUGAGUGGUGGAUAACUUGCUGAAAAGCAAGCUAAUACAGCAUACGAUAAGCAAGUAUUUCUUGUUUAUUAAAGUCUUCGGGCGCUCGCAGAGGGGCCUAUGCCUGAUUAGCUAGUUGGUGAGGUAACGGCUCACCAAGGCGAUGAUCAGUAGCUGGUCUGAGAGGAUGGUCAGCCAGAUGGGGAUUGAGAUAUGGCCCCAACUCCUACGGGAGGCAGCAGCAAGGAAUAUUGGGCAAUGGGCGAAAGCCUGACCCAGCGACACCGCGUGAGGGAUUAAGGCCUUCGGGUUGUAAACCUCUUUUCUCGAGGAAGAAGUUUUGAUGGUACUCGAGGAAUAAGCCACGGCUAACUACGUGCCAGCAGUUGCGGUAAUACGUAGGUGGCGAACGUUAUCCGGAUUUAUUGGGCGUAAAGAGAGUGUAGGCGGCUUGUUAAGUCGAGUGUUAAAUCUUCUGACUUAAUCAGGAGCUGCAUUCGAUACUGGUAGGCUUGAGGGCAGCAGAGGAAAACGGAAUUCCCAGUGUAGUGGUGAAAUGUGUUGAUAUUGGGAAGAAUAUUAGAGGUGAAGGCGGUUUUCCAGGCUGUAUCUGACGCUGAGACUCGAAAGCGUGGGGAGCGAAGUGGAUUAGAUAUUUGCGUAGUCCACGCUUUAAACGGUGAACAUUAGGUAUGGGAAGUAUCGACCCUUUUUGUGUCGUAGCUAACGCUUUAAAUGUUCCGCCUGGGGAGUACGGUCGCAAGGUUAAAACUCAAAGGAAUUGACGGGGGUCCGCACAAGCAGCGGAGCGUGUGGUUUAAUUUGAUGAUAUACGAAGAACCUUACCAGGGUUUGACAUGUCAGAAGUAGGAAAAAGGUAGAUGACUUGUAUUUAGUUAGGAACUGUCACAGGUGCUGCAUGGCUGUCGUCAGCUCGUGCCGUGAGGUGUUGGGUUAAGUCCCGCAACGAGCGUAACCCUUGUUCUAUGUUAAUUUUUCAUAGAAGACUGCCUUGUACAGCAAGGAGGAAGAAGAGGAUGACGUCAAGUCAGCAUGGCCUUUAUGCCCUGGGUUACACACACGCUACAAUGGGUAAUAUAGAGGGUUGCCAAAGAGUGAUUUGGAGUUAAUCCCUUAAAAUUAUCCUCAGUUCGGAUUGUAGGCUGAAAUUGCCUACAUGAAGUCGGAGUUGCUAGUAAUCGCAGGUCAGUUAUACUGCGGUGAAUACGUUCUCGGACCUUGUACACACCGCCCGUCACGUCGUGGAAGUCGGAAAUAUUUGAAGCCAAUGUGUUAAUUUGUUUUU
rnacentral:rRNA from 1 species